rnacentral:rRNA from 1 species
UACGUAGGGCGCAAGCGUUGUCCGGAAUUAUUGGGCGUAAAGAGCUCGUAGGCGGUUUGUCGCGUCUGCUGUGAAAACUCGAGGCUCAACCUCGGGCUUGCAGUGGGUACGGGCAGACUAGAGUGCGGUAGGGGAGACUGGAAUUCCUGGUGUAGCGGUGGAAUGCGCAGAUAUCAGGAGGAACACCGAUGGCGAAGGCAGGUCUCUGGGCAUUACCUGACGCUGAGGAGCGAAAGUGUGGGGAGCGAACAGG